GAAGAGCUUGGGAAGCCACACAUAUCCAGACAUUCACUGAGUACUUACAAGUGCCCAGCACUGUGGCAGCCACCCAGAAAGUGACACGGAAGGAGCCCUGAUGUCUGCCUGUGGGGCCAUGGACCCACAAGGUGCUCACUUCAGAGCCUGAGCAGAGGGGACAUGUCCCACAGAGAGAUCAUGGGUUAAGACAAGAAGUCACGUGGCAAAAAGGAGCAGUCUUUGUUUUCCUGAAAAGCUCACUCUCUCGGGACCUAACUGGAGUCCUGGGAAUGACACAUGGAUCUCUUCUGAAGACACCCCAGUGAUCUAACCACGUUCCACCAGGUUCUAGAGCAGAUUGGCUGAACUACUCUACACAGAAGAUGCUGUUCCUCUCACAGCCAUAGGCUGACACAUAAGCAGCCCCGAGCCAGGUGCAGGAUGCUGCCUCUCAAGCUGUGAGGCAGGGACGUCAGUCCCAGAGGAUCCCCAAGCAAUGGGAGCUAUUGCCAUUGUUCUUGGCUGUCCACCAGAGCUUGAGCAUCAGACCCUGUUGCUGAAGACUCCACAGCACUGGACACAGGACAUGAAGACAUCAGUGGUAUUGGCCGAGAAGCUCCUUGCCUUGCUCGUUAGUUUUCAUACUAAUGGAAGGGGCUAUGUAGGUUGCUGGGGUGGGAGGGAGUAAAGAUCAGUGCUACCCAGCACUGUGGACACUGCAAGCUACAAUAAUGAUCGGAUCGGCCAUAUGCCCACAGGAGUUGUCAUGGCACAGAUGUUAGGGGGUGUCGGGGAUAACCAACUGUUUUCUGAUUGUACUUAAGGUCUGCUUCACACAUGCCCAGUACUGUGAAGACAAGCACUCUUGUCUGGGAAGGUCAUAUCCAUGGGAAAUGAACCUUCUGCUAUUAAAUUGAAAAAAAAAAUGGACAUAGCAUAUAAAGAUGCACAGUCCACACCCAUGUCCAGACUCCUAGAGGACAGCACCUCUCCUACUUUGCUCUGUAGGUCUUCUGCACUACUCCAUGGAAGAUAGCUCACUCUGUCCCAGAAACAUGGCCAUGAGCCCCUUACAGAGACAACCGAGUCUUCUUCGUGGGAACUCUUCACUGGAUCUCUGGAUUUGGUAAAGGUUGUUGGAACUUAAGAGGCAAUGUCAGUCCUCAAGUUCUACCAAGGCUGUUAAUCUACUUAGGGGCGUUUUGUGAUGACUCUAUUGUGGGUUUUCCAUUAACUGCCCAAACUUCUGAGUCUGCCCCUACGGUUUGUCCAGACCUAGUUUCCUGCAGGGUGGCGAGGGUGAGGCACACAGAACUAUCUCAUCCUCUCCCUGGAAGCACAAGCUCAUCCUUCCUAAGAGGACCAGGGACGGGGAAGGGUGAGUUCAUGGACUUCGUUCUCCUACAGAUACAUGCAAUGGACGAGGUCAUCUGGUGUUGUCUCCAGGCUUAGGCAGGAAAGCCCCACAGCUUCCAGAACAGAUGGAGAAAAACACUGACUAUCUUCAGGCAGGGAGCUAGAAUAGACGCCAGGCUGAGGAGGCCUGUGUGAGACUUAUUCAGGCUGCUCUUAGGCCUGAUGUCAUGGGAUGGGGGUGGGAGAGCAUUCAGUCACAAGGCUGGGAUUGGAGUAUUUAGCUUUGAAAGAACUAGAUCACAGAACAAGGACUACCAAAUAUUCAUCUUCCACUAACCUAUGAGCUCCUUCAAGUCAGAGCACGUCGGAUUCACAUUUGUUCCCACUCCCUUGUAGGUUACCUGGCACUGAAAAGAUGCUCAAUAAGUAAAUAUAAAUAUAUACUCAAUAAAUAAAUAUAAAUAUAUACGGAAGGCAGAGAGAGGGUGCACUAAGUCCAGCCAUGCCAGUGAGCUGUUCAGGGGCUGCAGGCCUUGCCAUCCCCAUGCCUGCUCUGUCUUCCUUGAAUACUUGGGAUGCUCCCUGGUUCCUCUCUUGGCCCUUCAGGUAGAAUUCCAUGAAUACUUCCUCUCCUGCUUCCCUGAUCUUUGGCAUCCCUAAGUCCAUGUUGGCUCACCCCCUCCCCAGCAUUUGGUCACAUGAGUCCAGUCUCCGCUAAUCUCUGUUCAUUAGUAAGCAGAGUUACUUAGGAAAAAGACCUGAGCUUGUCUCUUAGACUGAGUGACAGGUUUUCCAGCCAGAGGGGUCAGAAGGUCACAUAGCAAGUAACUGAGGUGAAGGUGAAGGAUGGAGAGGGAGGUAGGUGGGAGUGGAAGGCUGCCCCUGAGGAGGGUUGGCCGGUAGAUAAGCAAGGCAGGAAUGCAGUCUGGGCUUUCAUGAGAGACUCCAUCAGCUAGAACAGGAUGGAGACACCACAACUUGGCUAGCAAGGGUUCAGGCACAUGAGUCGAGGAUGAUCCUCAGGGAUCUCGGAGGCCAGUGGUCCUGAAGAGUCCCCCUCAGUCUUUCUGAGUUCACAUAAAUGAUCAAAGAAAGCUUAAGAGGCACUCUCAGUAUUUUCAAAGACUUAAUGAAAUUCCCAUGUGAUAAGAUUGCAGAGGGUAAAAUUAAAAGGUUGUCUGCCUUUGCCUUUGGCUAAGGUUUUAUCAGCAUGGCAUCCCCACAGAGAAAUAAAUUACCUGAUUAUAU
rnacentral:lncRNA from 1 species